GUAGUGGGACUGGCUUCCCACACACCAUUCGUCUCUCUCUCUCUAUCCUGCUUGCUCUCUCUCUCUCACAAAGUCAGUUGUUUCGAGAGAGAGGAUCAGUUUUUUGUUAAAUUUUAUGUUUCCCAUUAAUUUCGAAAAAGAGGAGGACGAAAUUUGGGAGGGUACGGUUCGUAAAGUUAAGUAAUAGGGAAGGAGGAGAAAAAAUAAGAUAAGAGUUGAGUUUGAGUAGUAGAUAGGUUGUUAUCUGUCAAAGAAUCCGGAUUGGAUUUGCGAUUGGAAGUUUUAAGGUUAUCAGUCAAAGAAAAAGACCGGAUUGCGACUGUACUCUAUUUCACAGUUUUUUAAACAGCAA